rnacentral:lncRNA from 1 species
AAACAAGAAUGUGUCCAUAGUACACGGAUGCCCCACUCGCACUAUAAUUUUCCAUGUUCAGUGGACCGUAAACAUGGGGUCAAAACUUUAAUUUGAAAUUAAAAUUAGAAAGAUCAUAUCAUAGAGAACAUGUGUGCUAAGUUUCAAGUUGAUGUGACUUCAACUUCAUCAAAAACCACCUUGACCAAAAACGUAAACCUGAACGGACGCACGGACGAAUGGACGCACGGACGAACGGACAAACGGACGAAGGCACAGACCAGAAAACAUAAUGCCCCUCUACUAUCGUAGGAGGGGCAUAAAAACUCAUUAGUAAAAUAAAGAGAAACUGACAACAUGGCAAAAAUAAAAUACAACGAAAAUACAAACUCUAAAGAGCGCCC